CAUAUCUACUGCCUAUAAUGGGCUUUUCUUCUAUUUCCCUUCGGAAAGGUAAAAAGUUCCUAGUCACUUUAUAUCUUUCCCUAUUGCCUCGUUCUUUCUGGUCGCAUCAAUCGACAAAUUACUAGUUACUUCAAUAGAUUACACAAAAUUUUAGGCAACUAAAUUCUUUCCCAGAACUACACAUGGAUAGUCUACACACCUAUCAAUUCCCAGAUACAGAAACUACAACAAUAAUGAG